rnacentral:rRNA from 1 species
UACGUAGGGCGCGAGCGUUGUCCGGAAUCAUUGGGCGUAAAGAGCUCGUAGGCGGCCUGUCGCGUCUGCUGUGAAAUCCCGGGGCUUAACCCCGGGCGUGCAGUGGAUACGGGCUGGCUGGAGGCAGGCAGGGGAGAACGGAAUUCCUGGUGUAGCGGUGAAAUGCGUAGAUAUCAGGAGGAACACCUGUGGUGUAGACGGCUUUCUGGACCAUAGCUGACGCUGAGACACGAAAGCGUGGGUAGCAAACAGG